GACGAACGCUGGCGGCGUGCUUAACACAUGCAAGUCGAACGGAAAGGCCCUGCUUUUGUGGGGUGCUCGAGUGGCGAACGGGUGAGUAACACGUGAGUAACCUGCCCUUGACUUUGGGAUAACUUCAGGAAACUGGGGCUAAUACCGGAUAGGAGCUCCUGCUGCAUGGUGGGGAUUGGAAAGUUUCGGCGGUUGGGGAUGGACUCGCGGCUUAUCAGCUUGUUGGUGGGGUAGUGGCUUACCAAGGCUUUGACGGGUAGCCGGCCUGAGAGGGUGACCGGCCACAUUGGGACUGAGAUACGGCCCAGACUCCUACGGGAGGCAGCAGUGGGGAAUAUUGCACAAUGGGCGGAAGCCUGAUGCAGCAACGCCGCGUGCGGGAUGACGGCCUUCGGGUUGUAAACCGCUUUCGCCUGUGACGAAGCGUGAGUGACGGUAAUGGGUAAAGAAGCACCGGCUAACUACGUGCCAGCAGCCGCGGUGAUACGUAGGGUGCGAGCGUUGUCCGGAUUUAUUGGGCGUAAAGGGCUCGUAGGUGGUUGAUCGCGUCGGAAGUGCAAUCUUGGGGCUUAACCCUGAGCGUGCUUUCGAUACGGGUUGACUUGAGGAAGGUAGGGGAGAAUGGAAUUCCUGGUGGAGCGGUGGAAUGCGCAGAUAUCAGGAGGAACACCAGUGGCGAAGGCGGUUCUCUGGGCCUUUCCUGACGCUGAGGAGCGAAAGCGUGGGGAGCGAACAGGCUUAGAUACCCUGGUAGUCCACGCUGUAAACGGUGGGUACUAGGUGUGGGGUCCAUUCCACGGGUUCCGUGCCGUAGCUAACGCUUUAAGUACCCCGCCUGGGGAGUACGGCCGCAAGGCUAAAACUCAAAGGAAUUGACGGGGCCCCGCACAAGCGGCGGAGCAUGCGGAUUAAUUCGAUGCAACGCGUAGAACCUUACCUGGGUUUGACAUGGAUCGGGAGUGCUCAGAGAUGGGUGUGCCUCUUUUGGGGUCGGUUCACAGGUGGUGCAUGGCUGUCGUCAGCUCGUGUCGUGAGAUGUUGGGUUAAGUCCCGCAACGAGCGCAACCCUUGUUCACUGUUGCCAGCACGUUAUGGUGGGGACUCAGUGGAGACCGCCGGGGUCAACUCGGAGGAAGGUGGGGAUGACGUCAAGUCAUCAUGCCCCUUAUGUCCAGGGCUUCACGCAUGCUACAAUGGCUGGUACAGAGAGUGGCGAGCCUGUGAGGGUGAGCGAAUCUCGGAAAGCCGGUCUCAGUUCGGAUUGGGGUCUGCAACUCGACCUCAUGAAGUCGGAGUCGCUAGUAAUCGCAGAUCAGCAACGCUGCGGUGAAUACGUUCCCGGG
rnacentral:rRNA from 1 species